rnacentral:rRNA from 1 species
UUGAACGCUGGCGGUAUGCUUUACACAUGCAAGUCGAACGGGCUAUGGGGCUUGCUCCAUAGUUAGUGGCGAACGGGUGAGUAAUAUAUCGGAACAUAUCCGGAAGUGGGGGAUAAUGUAGCGAAAGUCACGCUAAUACCGCAUACGACCUGAGGGAGAAAGCGGGGGCUCGCAAGACCUCGCGCGAUUGGAGUGGCCGAUAUCUGAUUAGCUAGAUGGUGAGGUAAAGGCUCACCAUGGCGACGAUCAGUAGCUGGUCUGAGAGGAUGAUCAGCCACACUGGGACUGAGACACGGCCCAGACUCCUACGGGAGGCAGCAGUGGGGAAUUUUGGACAAUGGGCGAAAGCCUGAUCCAGCCAUUCCGCGUGAGUGAAGAAGGCCUUCGGGUUGUAAAGCUCUUUCGGCAGGAACGAAACGGUGGGGUCUAAUACGCCUUACUAAUGACGGUACCUGAAGAAGAAGCACCGGCUAACUACGU